AAAAAAAGAGGGGAGAUUCCUGACAUCAGCUUCCCAUACGAUCAAGCAGGAAGAUAGGAAAAGAACGAAGAUGCGAGGGAGUGUCCUAAUGUUGAUAUUGCCGAUGACAGUGGCGAUGCUCCAGGAAUGCCCAGAACAGCAACCCGCUCCCCAGUCAGGCAUAGUGACAAGACCAUAUCCUGGAAUCCUGAUCAACAACGUCCAGUGGGUCCAUGUACCAGUCCUGGUGAACCUGACAGCGUGGUCUCCAGAUGUUGAUGAGCUGUGCAAAGGAGAGAGUGUGGCUGACAUCUACAAGGACCUAUUGACAACGGCGUUUCUGAAGUACCAUGGUGCGGUGGCAACCAGGUCAUCAAUGGAAAAACA